UCACAGCUAUUUGUGAGAGUGGAACCUA
rnacentral:sRNA from 1 species